CACCGCCUGGGGAGUACGACCGCAAGGUUAAAACUCAAAUGAAUUGACGGGGACCCGCACAAGUAGUGGAGCAUGUGGUUUAAUUCGAAGAUACGCGCAGAACCUUACCAACACUUGACAUGUUCGUCGCGACUUUAAGAGAUUAAAGUUUUCGGCUCGGCCGGACGAAACACAGGUGCUGCAUGGCUGUCGUCAGCUCGUGUCGUGAGAUGUUGGGUUAAGUCCCGCAACGAGCGCAACCCUCACUUUUAGUUGCCAUCAUUAAGUUGGGCACUCUGAAAGAACUGCCAGUGAUAAGCUGGAGGAAGGUGGGGAUGACGUCAAGUCCUCAUGGCCCUUACGUGUUGGGCUACACACGUGCUACAAUGGUAUCUACAACAGGAAGCGAAACGGCGACGUUAAGCAAAUCCUUAAAAGAUACCUCAGUUCGGAUUGUACUCUGCAACUCGAGUACAUGAAGCUGGAAUUACUAGUAAUCGUGGAUCAGCGUGCCACGGUGAAUGCGUUCCCGGGUCUUGUACACACCGCCCGUCACACCAUGGGAGUUGGUUCUACCUUAAGGCAAGGUUUAAAACCCUUGACCACGGUAUAGUCAGCGACUGGGGUGAAGUCGUAACAAGGUAGCCGUAGGGGAACCUGCGGCUGGAUUACCUCCUUUCUAAGGAUGAAUAAAAAUUAUUUUUUAUUCUAAAUAAUAUACACGGUUAAUGUUGACCGUCCUCAUUUCUCUUCUUGAAUUAGUGUUUCUCUUGCAUGGGGGCCGGUAGCUCAGUUGGUUAGAGCACACCCUUGAUAAGGGUGGGGUCGAAAGUUCGAGUCUUUCUCAGCCCACCAUAGAUUAAGGGGGAUUAGCUCAGCUGGGAGAGCGCCUGAUUUGCAUUCAGGAGGUCAGCGGUUCGAUCCCGCUAUCCUCCACCAAACACAUAGCUAUAAAAAUUGUGAAUAAAAUAAUAAUUAAUAUCAAUAUCUAUAUCCGAACAUUAGUAAUGUUAUUAGCUAAUGUUCAAAUAAAAAUUUAAUUCAACACAGAAUUUUUUUCUG
rnacentral:sRNA from 1 species